rnacentral:rRNA from 1 species
UACGUACGGCGCAAGCGUUAUCCGGAAUUAUUGGGCGUAAAGAGCGUGUAGGCGGCCCGGUAAGUCCGCUGUGAAAGUCCAGGGCUCAACCCUGGGAUGCCGGUGGAUACUGUCGGGCUCGAGUCCGGAAGAGGAGUGUGGAAUUCCUGGUGUAGCGGUGAAAUGCGCAGAUAUCAGGAGGAACACCAAUGGCGAAGGCAGCACUCUGGGACGUGACUGACGCUGAGACGCGAAAGCGUGGGGAGCAAACAGG